rnacentral:rRNA from 1 species
AUUGAACGCUGGCGGCAGGCUUAACACAUGCAAGUCGAGCGGAGCGAGGGUGCUUGCACCUUAGCUUAGCGGCGGACGGGUGAGUAAUGCUUAGGAAUCUGCCUAUUAGUGGGGGACAACAUUCCGAAAGGAAUGCUAAUACCGCAUACGCCCUACGGGGGAAAGCAGGGGAUCUUCGGACCUUGCGCUAAUAGAUGAGCCUAAGUCGGAUUAGCUAGUUGGUGGGGUAAAGGCCUACCAAGGCGACGAUCUGUAGCGGGUCUGAGAGGAUGACCCGCCACACUGGGACUGAGACACGGCCCAGACUCCUACGGGAGGCAGCAGUGGGGAAUCUUGGACAAUGGGGGAAACCCUGAUCCAGCGAUGCCGCGUAUGUGAAGAAGGCCUUCGGGUUGUAAAGCACUUUAAGUGGGGAAGAAAGGUAUCAAGUGAAUAACUUGGUGCUAUGACGGUACCCGCAGAAUAAGCACCGGCUAACUCUGUGCCAGCAGCCGCCGUAAUAC